GCUGUGUUCCUUUAUGAUUUAACAGGCUUUGCGGAUGACAGCAAUGAAAGCCAGGGGGAGAAGAGAGAGUUGGAUGAAAGUGAUUUCCUGGGGGGAGGGGGUGAACUGGAUGGACUGGUGGAUGAUCUAGAACAGAAGCGUGAAAUGGGCUUCGCAGAUGACAGCGAUGAAAGCCAGGGGGGGAAGAGAGAGUUGGGUGAGUAGCUGGACGCAAACAGAGGCACGACUGCUAUUCAAGCCCUUU